CCUACGGGUGGCAGCAGUGGGGAAUUUUCCGCAAUGGGCGAAAGCCUGACGGAGCAAGACCGCGUGGGGGAGGAAGGUUCUUGGAUUGUAAACCCCUUUUCUCAGGGAAGAAAAAAAUGACGGUACCUGAGGAAUCAGCAUCGGCUAACUCCGUGCCAGCAGCCGCGGUAAUACGGAGGAUGCAAGCGUUAUCCGGAAUAAUUGGGCGUAAAGCGUCCGUAGGUGGCUGUUCAAGUCUGCCGUUAAAGACCGGGGCUUAACCCUGGAAAGGCGGU
rnacentral:rRNA from 1 species